GUCGAGCGGACAGAAGGGAGCUUGCUCCCGGAUGUUAGCGGCGGACGGGUGAGUAACACGUGGGUAACCUGCCUGUAAGACUGGGAUAACUCCGGGAAACCGGAGCUAAUACCGGAUAGUUCCUUGAACCGCAUGGUUCAAGGAUGAAAGACGGUUUCGGCUGUCACUUACAGAUGGACCCGCGGCGCAUUAGCUAGUUGGUGAGGUAACGGCUCACCAAGGCGACGAUGCGUAGCCGACCUGAGAGGGUGAUCGGCCACACUGGGACUGAGACACGGCCCAGACUCCUACGGGAGGCAGCAGUAGGGAAUCUUCCGCAAUGGACGAAAGUCUGACGGAGCAACGCCGCGUGAGUGAUGAAGGUUUUCGGAUCGUAAAGCUCUGUUGUUAGGGAAGAACAAGUGCAAGAGUAACUGCUUGCACCUUGACGGUACCUAACCAGAAAGCCACGGCUAACUACGUGCCAGCAGCCGCGGUAAUACGUAGGUGGCAAGCGUUGUCCGGAAUUAUUGGGCGUAAAGGGCUCGCAGGCGGUUUCUUAAGUCUGAUGUGAAAGCCCCCGGCUCAACCGGGGAGGGUCAUUGGAAACUGGGAAACUUGAGUGCAGAAGAGGAGAGUGGAAUUCCACGUGUAGCGGUGAAAUGCGUAGAGAUGUGGAGGAACACCAGUGGCGAAGGCGACUCUCUGGUCUGUAACUGACGCUGAGGAGCGAAAGCGUGGGGAGCGAACAGGAUUAGAUACCCUGGUAGUCCACGCCGUAAACGAUGAGUGCUAAGUGUUAGGGGGUUUCCGCCCCUUAGUGCUGCAGCUAACGCAUUAAGCACUCCGCCUGGGGAGUACGGUCGCAAGACUGAAACUCAAAGGAAUUGACGGGGNNCCGCACAAGCGGNGGAGCAUGU
rnacentral:rRNA from 1 species